rnacentral:ncRNA from 1 species
CGCGCCGCACCUGCCCCGUUCGCGGGGCCGGGGAAGCCGGUCGAGCAGCGUCGUGUCGCGGACCGGGACUGUCCUCAGUCCCGGGUCGUCUCGGCGCGGUACCGAGCGGUCGCUCCCUCGCGAGGUGCCGCGGGUCAGCGGCUGACGCCAGCCACCUUCCCGACCCGUCUUGAAACACGGACCAAGGAGUCUAACAUGUGCGCGAGCCGCGGGGCAGUACGAAACCCGUAAGGCGAAAUGAAGGUGAACGCCGGCGCGGUCCGGCGGAGGUUGGAUCCCGUCCCGUCGGGGCGGGCGCACUACCGGCCGAUCUUCUCCGCCCUGUCGGCGAGGUCGAGCGAGAGCGUGCAAGUCGGGACCCGAAAGAUGGUGAACUAUGCCUGAGGAGGUUGAAGCCAGAGGAAACUCUGGUGGAGGACCGUAGCGAUUCUGACGUGCAAAUCGAUCGUCAAAUUUGGGUAUAGGGGCGAAAGACUAAUCGAACCGUCUAGUAGCUGGUUCCCUUCGAAGUUUCCCUCAGGAUAGCUGGCGCUCUGUCGCAGUUUUAUCUGGUAAAGCGAAUGAUUAGAGGUCUUGGGGGCGAAACGCCCUCAACCUAUUCUCAAACUUUAAAUUGGUAAGAAGCCCGACUCGCUCGUUUGGAGCCGGGCAUGGAAUGCGAGUGCCAAGUGGGCCACUCUU